rnacentral:lncRNA from 1 species
GGUUCUUUCCAAACCCUAUUCACUUCUACGCCUUCAUACGUUCCUAAUCUAUCCAUUUAUUCAAGCCUAAUCAUCUUCGCAAGAUCUUAUAAUCUUCUCCAUCGCCGUCCAAGAAGUUCCUGAUUCUCGAUUUUUAGUCAAGAUACCACAGGUAAAGCUUCUUUAGUUUUCGAUUUUGCAUGCUUUUUGAGUAUAUUAACAAUGCAAGCUCAGAAGGAGGCUCCUCCACUCAUGCAAUGUAAAGACAAGUUUCUCCUUCAGAGUGUAUGUAACUGUAGGCUCAGGAGCAACCACAAAGGAUUAUGUUAAUAACCAUUUCAGGUCCUUAGGAGGAUGCUUCCAGCGUACUUUCAGCAUAUGAAAUCCUACAAAAUAAGGGGGAGUGUGCAUGAAAAGAUAAUGGAUAUGCUCCCUGGCGCAAAAAUGCACCUUUCACAUGGGCUAUAAAAUGGAGAGUUUGCUGAGUGUUGUGGAGAUCAAUGCUAUGGAUAAUAAUGUAUUUGAUACCAAGGAAAAAAAUAUGGACCAGAUUUCCUCCGGAAGGAUCGAAACAUACUCCACCUCGUCAGUCGUGUGAUUUUAAAUUUAAAGUCUAUUGUCCAUCGGUUUUCAGGAAUGAGGCUCUCCGGGAGCUCUCAUCUCCUGGAAAAAGCGGCUGUUUCUAUUACAUGACAUCCGAUAACAAGUAUAUGAUAAAGACAAUGAAAAAGGCAGAAGUUAAAGUGAGUCGAUUCUUCCCGUCUAAUUCACGUUCUUUGUUACUUGAUGUCAAUGAUUAUAAAUGUUGUAUAUAAAGAAGUUUUUAGAGAUUUGUAAUUUGUAUUUGUAUCUAUAGAUUUCUUAGUUGUGA